AGUUUAAUUAACUCGCCGCGUUCAUUCUCUGAACUGUCCACCGAAAGGAGGCGCCAGGGUGACCAUUAAGUCCAUAAUCAUCCAGUUUCCAGUCUGUGGAAAGUGUAAACCUUCGUGUUUCUCUUUAUAAUUGAGAGAAUCAAUCUUUGUAAUGUCGGGUCCAAAAUCUUUUCGACGCUCAAAACAACGUGGACAUACAUUCACAUCAUGAUGGCCUGGCGUCUAGUUUACCAUCAGACGACCUCAGGCUUCUAUGCAACUUUCAGAAUCAUGCGCUUUUUGUUGAUAUGCGGCUGCGGAAGCGGGGUGCCGUUAAAGACAAGGAUGCCGAGGCUGGAAAAAGCAUGAGCUAAAACCAAUGUGUCGAUUAAAAUCCACUCAUCCUCUCGCAGCGAAGCGCACCAAUUAUAACCUUCCAUUAGGCUAAUGCCUCAUGUUCGAGAAACAAUCUUGGUCUGAGAGAAAAGAUUGUUAGCUGGCUUUGUCGUCGGCCAAAUGAUUAGUAUGUUUAUCAGUGUUUUGGCUCCAAGAGAUCUCCGUGGAUUCGCAGACAGUGGAAGAGCGAACAAUAUCACGGAGUAGGGUGAUGAUAAGUGCAGUGGCAAACUUAAACAUUCUGCCAGCAUACAUUUAACCUUAACAGCAUAGCCGGAUAGCAACAAGCAGCGACAACAUCCAUUCCUCCACACCAGAGUGAUUGAUUGCAGCGCACUCAACCCUGAUUUCUCCGAUUGCGAGAUGUGGCCGGACGAGGGCUGUUGCGGUGAGUGAUGCUUUUCCAAGCGCUGUUCGCAAAUGAAUGGUGGAAUGUGCCCAUCAUGCUUUUCCGCAGAUGAAGCCAAAGUGAACAUGUAUAGCGUUCAUAACUACAGAUGUAUGGCGUGUAAUAGCAAUGAUAACCUCUGGAGAAACAAUCGGAUUCGUGGCUUGCUAUAUGUUUGCAUGCAACCGUGCAGGUGAUUUCCUUCAAUACCCACAUGGUGCUGCAUGCCCAACCAUUUUGAACGACCAGGGAGCACACAAAAAGGGCAAAGCAACGGAGAGUGAAAAGCAAUUAGCCAGUAAUGAGUCUUCAGCUCCGCCUGCUGCAAUUCUGUCGAGCUACUCAUGAGUCUAUUUUUUGUUGUUUCGAAGUUGCCUGGCUUCGUGGGGUAAUGAAUGUAAGAAAUGCGAGAAGAGUGCAAGAAAUGAAUAGAUUCUGAAUAAGUAGAUAGAAAUCUUAUCGAGACACUGAAAUGAUCUCGAAAGGUCAUGCGACUCUAGUGAGCUUGGAUAUGUUGAGGCUUCGUGGAGUUCAUCAGCUCAUCGUCAAACGAAUUUAAUAUUACAAGCUAGUGCAUUUUAAUGGUGGUCA